AUCUUUGGACUCUUUGGUUCCUGCUCACCCAUUACACUGAGUGAAUGAACUGAGGUGGCAUACUGGGGACUGUGCCCAGCCAGGACUGACCUCUUCAGGCCUCCGAUUCUGGCUCAGAGCAGCAGAGACCAAUUUCGUCAAGGCCUUCGUCUGGACAAGGGCUCACGCGACGCUACCCAGCCUGCGUGGCCCGCCCGGACCGUGAAGGGACAGUCCUCCCGGCUGCCUCUGGACACUACUCGGCCGCUAGGGUUCUCGCCACAGUCCUGCCCUCAACCAUAAUGAAUGGAGGAAUGAACACGGCCGAGGUCCUGGAUUCUCGCUCAGCCUCGUCUCUGCCAGUGUGUCCUGGGCCAGAGGCGGAGCCCCAGCCCCAUCCCCUUCAACCGGAGGGACCUCAGAAUUGUUGGUGUUUCCACGGGCCCCCUCCGGGACAAUGACUUUUGCUCAGCUGGUCCCCUGAAGCAUCCCCUCCAAUCUCUGUGAUGUCUGUUUCAAAGUACAUAAUACUGGACUUGGCUGCCACCCCCCUCUAUUGACCAAGAAAGUUCUAGCAGAUGGCAUUCCGUGCAUCUCUACCAAACCUAGACUGUUGCCUUCGUUGAUGUGCACAGAAUUCGAAAAAAAAAAACUGUCGAGUUCUGCUUUCCUUAGGGGGUCUCAUUCAGAGCCCAUCUUCCCUCUUCCAAGCCAGACCGGGAUUGCAGCAUCUGGGAUCCCCCUUUCCUGUCCUUCUUCAAUUGUGGAAAGGCUGGAGGACAUCCCCUGAAAUGCUCCCAGCCUAUGGCAAGAGAAGGUAGGAGGCCAAAACCAGUUCCUGAGCCACAGGCAGACCCCCGUCAUCUCCUCAAUGAAGAACCUGGAAUUGAUGGUGUUGACAUGAGGUCCUACAGGACACUGCCCUCUGUCCACCUCGGCUCUGAGCCAUCCCCAGAAGGCUCUAUGAUGUCAGCUGCAAAACAGUCAACAAUCACAUGUACCCACCCCUAAACACUGAGACCCUAAAGUGACUCUUGUAAUCCAAGAGAUGAGUUUUGGCACCAAUCUAGGCCAAUAUCCUUUGAAUUUCCCCUGAGUCCCCUGAACAGACUUCGAGGAGGGCUUUCUCUUGAUCAGCUCUCCCCAGAUCCUCACAACCUCCAGGACCCUCCGUUUGAAAGCGGAGCCCAUUGUCCUGGUUCUCUCCCCUCUUGAUUGUUACUGACGGUGGGGACUUGUUCGGACACCUCUGGAAACACAAACAU